GGGCCGUUAGCUCAAUGGUAGAGCAGCUGACUCUUAAUCAGUAGGUUCGGGGUUCGAGUCCCUGACGGCCCA
rnacentral:tRNA from 1 species